UCCUCCCUUAAAGCACACACCUCUUGCUAUGAUCAUUUUUUUUCUAUCUGACACGAGCCUCGGCUAGCUUGGUGCCGCUGGCAAGGGGAGGCACGAGUAACCGAUCACUGUAUGGGUUUAGCUGCUACAGAGCCGUGCCAAACCCGUUCGCUGUCCUCACCCCCGCUCACACCCACGGGCAAUUUACUGUCUCAAAUUCACCUCACCUGCAUGUCUCAGGAUUGUGUUGGAAACCGCCGACUCGAGCUCCGAUAGGAUAAAUAUCGCACGCAGUUCUCCACCUCCUGUACCUCUCAUGCACACGCCAGACUCAUGUCCUCGACACCGAGUCUUGAACUGGUUACACCUUAACGGCAUCAGAGACGCUGUGAACUCGGGCGUAAAUAAUCCGAGACCACUUGCGGCACCGUGAUUUCAGUUUAAAGUCGAAUAAUCGUGCAGCCUUUACCAUACUGAUGUCUCAGCGGUCAACGUUUGGUGGCUUAAAUAUCCACUAGAGGUCCCUGUUAAGCGUUUUCAAUGCUUUCCCAUAGUCAGGUAAGCGCCGCUUUCAUCACCGUCACGUCCGUCACGCCGGGUUUCCCCUCAUGAAUGCGAAAACGAAAAUCCAAAGAAAAGAAAUAUUUCACGUUCUACGGAGAGCCGACCCUUCUCCAUCCGGUCUGUAUUAAUACUUCUGGUGUGUGCAUUUUAUUUCCCAGGAUUCCUACAACGUACGUCUCCCAAAAACCCGUGUCAGGUAUAUUUCCCUCGUCUAAAAAAAAAAAAAAAAAAGAAAACGCCCGUAUAUUUUUCCGAUAUGUUCCUCAUGUCUUGGACUCUAUCGUCGGGGGUUUGAGGAAAAUAUAAAAAGACGGUUCAAUAUAUACCGAUCAUAAAUACAUUCUCCGAGAAUUUCCAUUUCGGAUUCCGACCGUAAAUGUCACGUCCGUCACGCUGGAGUUGCCCCUAUGUCAUGAUGAUAGAUACGCUGACAUACAGAGCAGGAAGCAACCUUUUCAGGUAUACACUAUACGACACGGCGUCCCGGAUAAUGUGUGUGUGUGUGUAUAGGAAGACGUUAUACACGCCAUCCAUUCGGAAAUCUUUCAUUCGCCGUUCUAGUAACUACGUACGCUCCGACGAGUUUCGCUCAAAUAACCGAUAGCCGUUACGGAACGAUGAGAUACGAUGACGACUGAUUAAAUAAUAACCGGAGAUGACGUUACAAAAUGUUCAGACGUGAAUUAAAAAAAAUAAAUAAAUAAAAAAUAAAAUCUACAGAGCAGAAGCCUGGGAAAUCAUCCGUAUUGAACAAAAAGGCGCACGCAAGCACCCCUCUACAGCAAAUCAAAUUAAUUAUCAUCCUAAUUGAAGUCCUCCUCUUUGCUCUGUUACUCUAAUCUUAUAGCACUGCUCAUGCAGUUCACUCUGUGUGUGUUGGUGUGUGUGAGAGAGAGAGAGAGAGAGAGAGAGAGACGGAAAACCUUGGCAUUGUGUUUUCCAGUGAGAGGAACACCAUCAUUCUAUAAUCUCCUCUCGGUCACACGGGCUCACGUCUGACAGCGGAGAAGAGCGACACCGGUGCGAUGCGAUCCUGUCUGCUGACUUAUCCCGCAGAGACAGCGUUUCUGACUUAAGCCGUGAUUUCACGCUCAACAUCGCGGCAGACGAUGGAGGCUUGCACGGCGAGUUGUAUUAAAAAGAAGACGUGUUUAACCCGGGCCUGUUCUAGAAACUCCUUCACUGACUAUUAACCACUCUCGUGCGCACGGUAAGCUUUCCGAGUGAUCGGAAGACAACCCGGACGUCCUCUCGUCCCUUUCGGGCCCGAAUUCGACGCGUGAAACGCUUCGUACCGUGCGGUAUGUUGUUUUUUUUCCUUCCCCCUCCGCUAAAUAACGUGCAGCAUCAUUAGAGCUAAUACACUAAAACCGAAUAAACAAACAGAUCUCCCUGAGAGAGUAUUUGCGAGUUGCUGGAUGUCUUCACAUGCUGCCGAGUUCGUUCCUUGCGAGGAGGAACUAGCCUUCAUCUCCUGCCUCAUUAAAGUAAACUCAGACACGAGGAAGCACAACACUGCUCUGAACUCAACACAGCCUCGCUUUGACCCAUUUACAGACUCUUCUUCACGCUACGUCUCUAUUAACGCCUCUCUUUUUACUACGGGGUGUUAUCCGUGGGCUUUAGAAGCAUCCCGCUCAUCUAUUUUCAACAAUCAUUAGGAUAAUAAAAGGCACUGAUUACGAAGGAAAGAAGAAGAAGAAGAAGAAGAAAGAAGAGAACGCUCUGAUUAACUGUGAAAGAUAAAAAGUAAUGUUAUAAAGCGGUGCAGGUAAAAAAAAUAAAUAAAUAAAAAAAAAAUCAUUAAUGUGCUUAUAAUAAAACCCUGAGGAACUCCUUAAAAGAUGACUCGAAGCUUUACUUAGUAUAUAUUACACUCUUUGUUUGGUAGGUGAAUAUACAGUAUCUGCUGCCGAGGGUGAUAGAAUACAUCGUUGCUUAAUGGUUUAUCACAUUUUUACUAUACUGUUUAACAUCCUAACAGAUCUACAGUUCCUUCUGCGAUGUCCUGCAAACCUACACAUACCUUCACGUUUGUCCAAAAUAAGAAGCCUCUGCUAAGACGUUUUGGUUUCGGUCCUGCCUCUACCGCUGAGAUAACGCUGACUGAUUAUCCUAACGUGUUCACCUGUUCCGUGUCUCGCCUUGAUUUCCGCUCGUCGUUUCCGCCUCUCGUUACGAGGUUUAAUCAAAGCCCGAGCCUUCAUUUUCUGUCUUCGUGUCUUGGAACACGUGUCGUUUUGGACUCUGGGAUGUUUACGUUUUCAUGAUUGUCAACAGAAAUCCUUGGGUUAUGCGAUCUGCUUGUGCUUUGAACAAAGCUAUGGACAGGGAUUCACGUCACACGUUACAUGGGAAUUGAUGAAUAGAUAAGGAAAGUCGAAAGCAGAAAGGGACAGACCGGGAGAUAGAGACAGGGAUAGAAUCAGAUCGCAUCCAUUAAUCCAUUUUCUGUACCGCUUAUCCUACACAGGCUUGCGCGGAGCCUGGAGCCUAUCCCAGGGGACUCGGGGCACAAAGUGUGCCAAUCGCGCGUACGGACAAUUUCAGAGAUGCCGAUCUGCAUCAGAUGCAUUUCUUUGGAAAGAAAGCACAGUACCGGGAAGAAACCCCCGGAGCACUGGGAAAACGUGCGAGCGCCGCGCACACAGGAAGAGGCGGGAAUUCAAGAAUUGAACCCCCGACCCUGAAGGUGCGAGGCAACCGUGCUAACCAAAAAGCCACCAUGCCCCCUAGAAUCAGCGCUUGACUAUGGACUCACGAGAUGUGUGUUUGUUCAUUGAGAAGUCUGCAAUGCAGUGGAUCCUAUAGAAGUGUUGUUUGAUCAUAACAUCGACGCGUGACAGCGGAAAUCCUUUCUCUAGCCUACGUGUACGCAGUAUAACAUUCUGUAACUCAUAUUACAUAAACGGCUUAGCAGUGCAUCUAAAUGUCUCAAACAGGAAGCGACACUGCAAGUUGAAGCAACAGCACUUUCUCAGCGCUGUGAAAACAAGUCUGGAAAUGACGUGUAUAUGUUUCCACACUGGUGGCACAAACAGUCUGUCUUUGAAAUGAAAGAACUCUUUGCUGAUAAGAAAUUUACUCCCUGUAAAGAAGAGCAACCGUUUUCACCAUCUCUCUCUCUCUCUCUCGCUCUCUCUCUCCAUUCACGCCAACCUUUACAAUCCUGGGCAUUGUACAAGGUCUUAAGGAGUGUAAUCAAUCAAAUCGGCGCAGGACCCGAUGCUAAAUCGGCAGUCUUCGGUUCGCCUGAUAAGACAGGAAGUUGUCUCUCUUGACAUUACGCUCUCUGCCGAGCUGACAGAUUGAAGGAGUGUGACUUUUACCUGCAUAUAUACACCGUCCAAACCGCCAGGGCUGAUAAGGAAGGAAAACAGACUGCAACACUAAUUCUGACAGCAGACGGAUGAUUGAGGCCGUCCUUAUCUGGUAUACAAACUGCUAGGGACUGAUUCGGAAGCCGCAUGCGUGGCAUGAAGAAAAAGAGCUUCGACUCUAGUAAAAAAUGAGCCAUGGCAUGGUUGUUGUUUUGGGGUGCUGGAGAAACUGAUAUCUCCUGGGAUUUCCAUGCGAAACGAUCUAUACUCAGAGCAGAACACCCGGAAUGGUUUGAACCGAACUGUCCUGUCAACCAUGAACAGCAAUCUGAGGCUACAGUGGGCCCAGACUCACCAAAAACGAGACAGAAGACUAGAAGAAACGUGUUGAACAGAGUCUAGACCAGUGUUCACCAACCCUCUUCCGUGAGAUCUACCUUCCUGCGGGUUGCACCUCCAACCAAAAUCUAACACAACUCUUUAAGUCGGUCAAGAACUUCUUGAGGCAAUGAUUAGAUGGUCAGGACGUCAGGAAGGUAGAUCUCCAGGAACAGGGUUGGUAACCACUGGUCUGGACACUGUUCAUGGUGCAGUUUUGCACUUUUUCGAAGUUUAGCAUAACAUAAAAAUUCGCUAUCACACAAACACACACAUUCGUAAAAAAAAUAUAUAUAUAUACGUGCCCUGGAGGUGCAUUUAACGACACACCGGUCUGUUGGAAAAGUCUGUAUCUGGGCAUGUGCCAAUAAUAGAGUUUUACAAUAAUCCGCAAAGUCCAACACGCGUAAUGUUGCAACCCGGAUACUUAUAAAAAGUGAAGCAUUUCAUACGGAUGGAGGCUGAAGCGGUUUUACUGGAACAUCUGUGCUCCUGAGAUUAAGCCUCCCUUGUUCAGAGAGCAGCGUAUAGACAGCGGUACCCUUACUUUUCCUUCUAAGUGUCUUUAUUUUUCCUAGGCGAGCAAAAAGUAAUCAUUUCCACAGAUAGGAAGCAUGUGACAUGCGCAAUAUGAGCGUUGUUUUUUUGUUGUUGAAAUUUUACGUUAUUUCAACUCUCUGGACUCGCACAGGUUCCUCGGUGGCUAAAUGCUAAACGUGUGUCAUGAUCUUAAUGGAGUCUCGGCGCGCGAGCUAAAGCGCUAAACGCGGCGAACGAGUACAUUCACGCGUACGCGCUCCGUUCCCUAAAGCCACCGAGAGAGUGUGUUCUGUUCGGAACAGCAGGGCGCGCUGCAAAAUGAACCAUCUUUCCCCGACUAUCGUUCUUCUCAAAGGGACGCGUCUAAGCACACAAUCAUCCACGGGGGAGACACACUCUGCUUGGCAGGAGCCUGCGAGGCUCGUUGGGACAUGAGGCUGUUCGACAGACCCCUGCUGUAAUGUUCGGUUCCAAGCACACACACACACGAACAUACCCGUACACACACACGGACAGACGUACGAUCAGUCUGUUACAAGCUCCCAUGUGUUCAGACCUUGUAGAAAACAAGUUUACGGAAUGAGAAUUAGGGAAAAUAGGGAGUGUGGUUCUUCGUUUUUAGAUUUUUCGUGUGUGGUUUUUUUUUUUUUUUUUUUGACAACCCUCUCUUUUAGUUAGUUCUCAUUAGUGCGGUUGUGUCUAUUCAGCCGUCGCUGAAAGCACAUGAAGUGUGAUUAGCUGAGCAAAAAAACCCGCACAGUUUGACACGCAGUACCGGCACUGACGGUACGAGGAGAGUAUUUUUUUUUCCACCGAGGAAAUGAGCGCUUGAUGGUUUAAUUAAGAAAUAACUUUCAACAGCUGAAUAAACACUGGUGUUACAGUUACGGUGACGGGGGUGGUAUUUUUGAGGCUGAUUUCGAAGUGAUUGACAGAUCUUGCCCGCUACACACGCACACACACGGGGAUGCUGUUGAAUGAGUGUGUUUGAACAGCGGUGUUUAAUUGCUGACGGAAUUUUACGGCCCAGUUUUAUGCGAGACGAUCAUCGCCGGUGUGCCGCUGCCAAAUCUGCUACACCGUGACUGGCUUAAUAGUGAGAUUAUUGUCUUUAAUACCCGCUCGAUUAAAUGCCGGCUUUGUGUUCCGGGCCGAUGUCUACGCUGUCUACGUAGAACCGUGACACAUCCGGAAGUUAGCAUAAAACCUACGGAUUUCUGGUAAUCGAACAGCAAAAUCGUCUGGGAAGGGCCUACUCUCACAUCCCUAUCGAUCACAAUGACAUCGACUGGCAUCUCUGAGCUCAGGUAGUGAGGAAGAGGACGGGUAGUGUUUUCCUCCGAGGCUGGUCCGCUGCCCCGUGAUGCAGCACGAGCAGCAGUUGGAAAAAGAUGUGGUUGGCUGGCUUUAUGUGCUCCAAAUGUUAGCCUUGACUCUCCCCAAUUGGUAGCUGUUAUUGGUUAGUUCGCAGACGGGGGGGUGGUUAGGGUGGACUACCAAUCGGGCACACGGUGGCUUAGUGGUUAGCAUGUUUGCCUCACACCUCCAGGGUCGGGGGUUCGAUUCCUGCCCUGUGUGUGCGGAGUUUGUAUGUUCCCCCUCAGGGUACUCCGGUUUCCUCCCCCAGUCCAUAGACAUGCACUGCGAGCUGAUUGGCUUGUUUAAAGUGUCCUGUAGUGUGAAUGUGUAUGUGAGUGUGCCCUGUGAUAUAUUGUCACCCUGUCCAGGGUGUACCCCGCCUUGUACCCCAUGCCUCCUGGGAUAGGCUCCAGGUUCCCCGUGACCCUGAAGAAUAAGUGGUAUAGAAAAUGGAUGGAUGGAUGAUUACCAAUAUGGCUUCCACCCUCAGCAUCAGGCAUCUUGUACAUAGAACAGCACUUAUUGUCUUUUUUUUUUUUUACAAGAUGAACUACACGUACUAGAUGUGUAUAAGAGAGAGAGAGAGAGAGACAGAUGAUGUUCUGCAGCGUCCCUGUCAGAAAGUGUCGCAUGCUCAAGUGGGAAACAGCUUGUGCUCUUCAGAUCUUUAUCGCCGUCCUUCUGGAGAGCUGAUUCUACAGAGAGGGCUUCUGCUUCGCUUUGCUAGAAAACAAGCGAACGCAGAGCGAACCGUACACACGGACGCAUGUUCCGUACGCGAAGAGAAUACCUAAUCGCGGCGCCGUAUGUUUAGGCACGCACGAACGCACGCGCGUACACGGAAUCUACAAGGCAAGGUCAAGCAGUUAUUAUUCAGUUAAUGAUAGGUUUAAAUAUUUGAUAACUCUGACCUUCACCUUGGCGCAGGAAGCAAGCGUACAGUGACGACCUCGCACGUCGCACUCACACGAGUCUUCUCGUAGAAAAAAAAAAACCCCAAAUACUGCUCUAACCCAGCAGAAUACGAUAUGUUGUUAGCUACUGGACAUAUUUAAUAAUCCUAUCGUGAACGUUAGUCUAAAGCAGCACAUUUAUGUUACAACCUUUAAAGGAAACGUUUCGAAACCCUCCUUCGACGUUAUACGCCGAGGUUAAUGUUUCGCAUUGUGUUGCGUCGCGGUACAAAACAACGCAGGACAUUGUGCUGGAUCACUAUCAUAGUUUUAGUAGCUAUUACAUUGUGUAUGUUCGCUGUAUUUCACACUCAUGUUUGAUUUAAGGCAGUUUCAACCUCUGUAUCGGGCUCGAUUCGGUACUGGCGACACUUCUGAUAGUCGCACGCGCGUACCCGACACGAACCACACGCGAUCUCGACAGUGUGUGUCUGAACUCUUUCUCUCGUCCGCUUUUUUUUUUUUCUUAUCUGCUAUAAAGUGCGGCAUGAUGCGAGAGAGCGAGAGAGAGAGAGAGAGAGAGAGCUUGUGCAAUCAGUGAUAACUCAGCACAGUGCUUCCUCUAAGGGUUUCUACCGCUUCAUAGUAGACCCUGCUGGAGUCUGGAUUGAGCGGGGGGGGGGGGGGGGGAUAAAGAGAGAUUUCCACACUCCUUGUUCUAAGUCUCAGUGUUAUACUUUCUCUUUCUCCCUAGAGGUACGGGAGGAUAGACGAAGCCCUAACCUAACCUAGCCCUGUGUGUAUCUGUUUGUUCUGGUGUGACGUCCAUCCCUCAUGUCUCCACCUCUCUGUCCCAUAACUGCUACUCUUCCAGUCCCUCUUUCUCUUGUCUAGGUGGAUGGUCUCCCAAACUAGCCACUCAAAUGACCGCCGCACUGACCUGAAUCUCUGCAAAACAUCACCACAGAAGUCUCCACUAAUGACUAAGCUCCGGUAAACACCUAGACGACUAAAGGGUAGGAUUGUGAGCCCUACACCGUAUCCCUUAAUUAACACGAUGCCAGACACAUGCAAUGAGUGUGUGUUGAAUCGUAACAGUGAAAAUAAAUUAAAAAAAAAACAUAACAUAAAAGCUGAAAGUUGCUGCUACUCGCUAGCAUUUGCACGUAAUCAGUCAGGAAUGCUUGCAGAACUGAAGUCGGGACUCCUAAUAAACCUAACAUGUUAUUACCUGUAACGAAGCUCGUUAGAAAAUUCAGGCCAAUUAUAUAAACUGUGUGAAUGCGUUCUGGGAGCAGCACUGGAGAUCCUUAAUGAAAUCUUGUACAGAGAAGCAGCAGAUGAGCAAUACACUGUCAUUUUCUUCAUUUGAGGAAGUAAAGACAGUCACGGCUUUGACUGGACGGUAAGCUGAGAUGCGUCGGAGACCGAAGUCGGACGGCAGGUAAUUAAGGUCCGAAUGGGAUGCGAAAGAGGUGAGAGUGAAACACAUACAGUGCUGUGAGGACAUAUCUGUCCCCAUCCUGAUCUCAUGCUAAAUCGUUUCAGAACGUCAAACGGAAUACAGCAUAAAACAUAGGCGACCUGAAUAAACACACAAUUUUUUUUUAUUUUAUAUUUUUUAUUGAAGCAACAAACAAACAAAAAAGUUCUCCAGCUCCUUAAACUUAAAAUCUGGUUGUUUCACCUUUAGCGGCAAUAACUACAAACAAACGCUUCCGAUAACUGGAGAUCAGACUUUCACUUACUUCUAGGACUAGGAUUUACUCCUGCGCUUUGGAUCGUUGUCUUGCCGCAUGAGUUGCGCUUGAGUUUCAACUUACGGACUGAAGACCGGACAUUCUCCUUUAGGAUUUUCUGCUAGAGAGCAGAAUUCAUGUUUCCCUCAAUUACUGCAAGUUGCCCAGGCCCUGAAGCAGUAAAGCAUCCCCACACCAUUACACUUCCACCACCACUGCUUGACCGUAGGUAUGAUGAUGUUUUUGUUUUUGGUUCACACCAGAUGUAACGGGACACCUGUCUUCCAAACAGUUCCACUUUCGACUCAUCAAUCCACAGAACAUUCUCCCAAAAGGUUUACGGAUCAUCAAGGUGUGUUUUUGCAAAAUUCAGACGAGUCUUAAUGUUCUUCUGGGUUAGCGGUGAUUUUCACCUCACCACUCUAACAUGGGUGCCAUUUUUGCCCAGCGUCUUUCUGAUAGUGGAGUCCUGAAC
ensembl:lncRNA